rnacentral:lncRNA from 1 species
AUGCUGCAAAGUGGUAGAAGAUCCUUCCAGAAGCAAUCGUGGCAAAUAUGUCAAGGCACCUGACCUCCAUACUGAGAAAGUUCUAAGGCUCAACUGAAGGUCUUUAUCUUUUUCCUCUUCUGGUUCCAUUUGUAAAUUGAUUACACGGCAACCAAGUAUGUAAAGGCCUUCUAAUUUGGUUAGGAAUUUCAGGCUUCGUGGCAAUGAGACAAGUUUAUAACAACGAAACAGACGAAGUGCUCGAAGUGAUGUGAGGAACUGCAUUCCUUCAGAUAAACAUUCUAGAUUAUCACAGGAAGACAAGGUUAAGUAUUGAAGAGAACUCCAACAUCCUGGUCGAAUUUCUUUCAAAUGCUUAGCUCUAAUGGUUUUUUCCAGAUAUCUGAGCUCAAUCAAGCUUUGCAUGCUGUCAGGCAACUGCAUCAAAGGAACACCCUCCAUUGUUAACGUUAGCAAGCUCCGUAGCUUAUAGAAAGAACGAGGAAGUUUUCUUAUAUUAUAACAUUGAUUC